GACGAACGCUGGCGGCGUGCUUAACACAUGCAAGUCGUACGGUAAGGCCCUUUCGGGGGUACACGAGUGGCGAACGGGUGAGUAACACGUGAGUAACCUGCCCACAACUUUGGGAUAACGCUAGGAAACUGGUGCUAAUACUGGAUAUGUGCUCCUGCUGCAUGGUGGGGGUUGGAAAGCUCCGGCGGUUGUGGAUGGACUCGCGGCCUAUCAGCUUGUUGGUGGGGUAGUGGCCUACCAAGGCGGCGACGGGUAGCCGGCCUGAGAGGGUGACCGGCCACAUUGGGACUGGGAUACGGCCCAGACUCCUACGGGAGGCAGCAGUGGGGAAUAUUGCACAAUGGGCGCAAGCCUGAUGCAGCAACGCCGCGUGCGGGAUGACGGCCUUCGGGUUGUAAACCGCUUUCAGCAGGGACGAAGCUUUUUGUGACGGAACCUGCAGAAGAAGCACCGGCUAACUACGU
rnacentral:rRNA from 1 species